GGCGUCAUAGCUCAGUUGGGAGAGCAGCAGACUGAAGCGUGUCAUGUGUUGUGAUCUGAAGGUCCCGUGUUCAAGCCACGGUGAUGCCA